rnacentral:sRNA from 1 species
UAAAAUUGGCCCAAGCAAAAUAAAAUUAUCGAUCUUCCGAAUUUACCCCUAACGUCAAGUCUUGGCCCGUUUAUUUGGUCUAUUUCCUUUAUAUCUUCUUCUCUGCCAAACUCUGAAAUUGGCGGAACAAUAUCUUCUUCUCCGUCCAAAUACCAAAUCCUACCUCAAUCAUCCUUCAACCAACCAGAGCCACCUCAAGAUGCUCAAACCGCAAACAAACCUUCACCAAAUUUGCAACCCCAAAACUUAAGCUGGAGCAUCUCCAUCCCUUUCUCCGAUAUCGCAAAGGUAAGCAUCUUCCAUCCUUCAUCUUUGUUCUAAGAAUUGGAAGUUGCUGUGUAGGACCUUGAUUUUAGGCCAUGGCUUCAGAUUGGAUGAACAAACAAACGACGGUGAUCUCGAGGUUUGCAAAUUCAUGAAUGAUAAGGCCGUUAGACUCCAACAUGCUCAUCAACAACAUCACGACGGUGAUAUGCUUGGAUGAUUACCAUUCCCUAGACAGGGCAGGGAGGAAGAAGAAAGGAGUGAC